rnacentral:rRNA from 1 species
AACGAACGCUGGCGGCAUGCCUAACACAUGCAAGUCGAACGUGAUCCGGGGCUUGCCCCGGUGAAAGUGGCGGACGGGUGAGUAACGCGUGGGAACCUGCCCUUUGGUCGGGAAUAACUGCGGGAAACUGCGGCUAAUACCCGAUGCGCCCCUGGGCUCUGCCUGGGGGGAAAGAUUUAUCGCCGAAGGAUGGGCCCGCGUCGGAUUAGGUAGUUGGUGGGGUAACGGCCUACCAAGCCUUCGAUCCGUAGCUGGUCUGAGAGGAUGAUCAGCCACACUGGGACUGGGAUACGGCCCAGACUCCUACGGGAGGCAGCAGUGGGGAAUAUUGGACAGUGGGCGCAAGCCUGAUCCAGCAAUGCCGCGUGAGUGAAGAAGGCCUUAGGGUUGUAAAGCUCUUUCGGCGGGGACGAUGAUGACGGUACCCGCAGAAGAAGCCCCGGCUAACUCCGUGCCAGCCGCCGCAGUAACAC